UACGGGGGGGAGCAAGCGUUGUUCGGAUUUACUGGGCGUAAAGGGCGCGUAGGCGGCCAGCACAAGUCAGUUGUGAAAUCUCCGAGCUUAACUCGGAAAGGUCAACUGAUACUGUGCGGCUAGAGUGCGGAAGGGGCAACUGGAAUUCUUGGUGUAGCGGUGAAAUGCGUAGAUAUCAAGAGGAACACCUGAGGUGAAGACGGGUUGCUGGGCUGACACUGACGCUGAGGCGCGAAAGCUAGGGUAGCAAACGGG
rnacentral:rRNA from 1 species